rnacentral:rRNA from 1 species
AACGAACGCUGGCGGCAUGCCUAACACAUGCAAGUCGAACGAGAUCUUCGGAUCUAGUGGCGCACGGGUGCGUAACGCGUGGGAAUCUGCCCUUCGGUUGGGAAUAACUGAGAGAAAUUUCAGCUAAUACCUUAUAAUGUCUUCGGACCAAAGAUUUAUCGCCGAGGGAUGAGCCCGCGUAGGAUUAGCUAGUUGGUGGGGUAAUGGCCUACCAAGGCGACGAUCCUUAGCUGGUCUGAGAGGAUGAUCAGCCACACUGGGACUGAGACACGGCCCAGACUCCUACGGGAGGCAGCAGUGGGGAAUAUUGGACAAUGGGCGAAAGCCUGAUCCAGCAAUGCCGCGUGAGUGAUGAAGGCCUUAGGGUUGUAAAGCUCUUUUACCAGGGAUGAUAAUGACAGUACCUGGAGAAUAAGCUCCGGCUAACUCCGUGCCAGCCGCCGCAGUAACAC